UACGUAGGGUGCAAGCGUUGUCCGGAAUUAUUGGGCGUAAAGAGCUUGUAGGCGGUUUGUCGCGUCUGCUGUGAAAUUUCGGGGCUCAACCCCGAACUUGCAGUGGGUACGGGCAGACUAGAGUGUGGUAGGGGGAGACUGGAAUUCCUGGUGUAGCGGUGAAAUGCGCAGAUAUCAGGAGGAACACCGAUGGCGAAGGCAGGUCUCUGGGCAUUAACUGACGCUGAGGAGCGAAAGCAUGGGGAGCGAACAGG
rnacentral:rRNA from 1 species